rnacentral:rRNA from 1 species
UACAGAGGUCCCAAGCGUUGUUCGGAUUCACUGGGCGUAAAGGGCGCGUAGGCGGAUACUUAAGUUAGAGGUGAAAGCCCAGGGCUCAACCCUGGAACAGCCUUUAAUACUGGGUAUCUUGAGUUCGGGAGAGGUGAGUGGAACUCCGAGUGUAGAGGUGAAAUUCGUAGAUAUUCGGAAGAACACCAGUGGCGAAGGCGACUCACUGGCCCGAUACUGACGCUGAGGCGCGAAAGCGUGGGGAGCAAACAGG